GAUGAACGCUGGCGGCGUGCCUAAUACAUGCAAGUCGAGCGAACAGACGAGGAGCUUGCUCCUCUGACGUUAGCGGCGGACGGGUGAGUAACACGUGGAUAACCUACCUAUAAGACUGGGAUAACUUCGGGAAACCGGAGCUAAUACCGGAUAAUAUAUUGAACCGCAUGGUUCAAUAGUGAAAGACGGUUUUGCUGUCACUUAUAGAUGGAUCCGCGCCGCAUUAGCUAGUUGGUAAGGUAACGGCUUACCAAGGCAACGAUGCGUAGCCGACCUGAGAGGUUGAUCGGCCACACUGGAACUGAGACACGGUCCAGACUCCUACGGGAGGCAGCAGUAGGGAAUCUUCCGCAAUGGGCGAAAGCCUGACGGAGCAACGCCGCGUGAGUGAUGAAGGUCUUCGGAUCGUAAAGCUCUGUUAUUAGGGAAGAACAAAUGUGUAAGUAACUAUGCACGUCUUGACGGUACCUAAUCAGAAAGCCACGGCUAACUACGUG
rnacentral:rRNA from 1 species